rnacentral:rRNA from 1 species
UACGGAGGAUGCGAGCGUUAUCCGGAUUUAUUGGGUUUAAAGGGUGCGCAGGCGGCGUGUCAAGCAAGCGGUAAAAUAGCGGGGCUCAACCCCGUCGAGCCGUUUGAACUGGCGCGCUUGAGUUCAGGCGAGGUGGGCGGAAUUCGUGGUGUAGCGGUGAAAUGCAUAGAUAUCACGAAGAACUCCGAUUGCGAAGGCAGCUUACCAGUCUGCGACUGACGCUCAGGCACGAAAGUGUGGGUAUCGAACAGG